UCUUUACAGGGGAUCGAUUAGCAUGCUAGUCGCACGAGUUCAGACUCGUGGCGAAUAGCUCAGUAACACGUGGCCAAACUACCCUUCGGAGCACGAUACCCUCGGGAAACUGAGGCUAAUAGUGCAUACCACAGUCCAGCUGGAAUGAGGACUGUGUCAAACGCUCCGGCGCCGAAGGAUGUGGCUGCGGCCGAUUAGGUAGACGGUGGGGUAACGGCCCACCGUGCCAAUAAUCGGUACGGGUCAUGAGAGUGAGAACCCGGAGACGGAAUCUGAGACAAGAUUCCGGGCCCUACGGGGCGCAGCAGGCGCGAAACCUUUACACUGCACGCCAGUGCGAUAAGGGGAUCCCAAGUGCGCAGGCAUAGAGCCUGCGCUUUUGUACACCGUAGGGAGGUGUACGAAUAAGGGCUGGGCAAGACCGGUGCCAGCCGCCGCGGUAAUACCGGCAGCCCGAGUGAUGGCCGAUCUUAUUGGGCCUAAAGCGUCCGUAGCUGGCCGCACAAGUCCAUCGGAAAAUCCACCCGCUCAACGGGUGGGCGUCCGGUGGAAACUGUGUGGCUUGGGACCGGAAGGCGCGACGGGUACGUCCGGGGUAGGAGUGAAAUCCCGUAAUCCUGGACGGACCGCCGAUGGCGAAAGCACGUCGCGAGGACGGAUCCGACAGUGAGGGACGAAAGCCAGGGUCUCGAACCGGAUU
rnacentral:rRNA from 1 species